rnacentral:rRNA from 1 species
GACGAACGCUGGCGGCGUGCCUAAUACAUGCAAGUAGAACGCACAGUUUAUACCGUAGCUUGCUACACCAUAGACUGUGAGUUGCGAACGGGUGAGUAACGCGUAGGUAACCUGCCUGGUAGCGGGGGAUAACUAUUGGAAACGAUAGCUAAUACCGCAUAAUAUUAAUUAUUGCAUGAUAAUUAAUUGAAAGGUGCAAUUGCACCACUACCAGAUGGACCUGCGUUGUAUUAGCUAGUAGGUGAGGUAACGGCUCACCUAGGCGACGAUACAUAGCCGACCUGAGAGGGUGAUCGGCCACACUGGGACUGAGACACGGCCCAGACUCCUACGGGAGGCAGCAGUAGGGAAUCUUCGGCAAUGGACGAAAGUCUGACCGAGCAACGCCGCGGGAGUGAAGAAGGUUGUCGGAUCGUAAAGCUCGGUUGUAAGAGAAGAACGGGUGUGAGAGUGGAAAGUUCACACUGUGACGGUAGCUUACCAGAAAGGGACGGCUAACUACGUG